rnacentral:rRNA from 1 species
UACGUAGGAGGCAAGCGUUGUCCGGACUGACUGGGCGUAAAGCGCGCGCAGGCGGUGCGGGGCGUCGGUGCUGAAAUCGGGCCGCUUAACGGCCCGCGGCGUGCCGAUACGCCCGUACUGGAGGGUGGGCGAGGGUGGUGGAAUUGCCGGUGUAGUGGUGAAAUGCGUAGAGAUCGGCAGGAACACCCGUGGCGAAAGCGGCCACCUAGCCCAUACCUGACGCUGAUGCGCGACAGCGUGGGGAGCGAACAGG